rnacentral:rRNA from 1 species
GGUAUUUGUUACUAGCUGGUCUUUAUGGCCAUGUUGGUUAACAGAUCCUCAUCAUUUGGACAACUCUUGAUGAUCUUUAUCGAUUGUCAUUUGUUACCAAAACGUUUACUUUGAGAAAAUUAGAGUGCUAAAAGCAGGCUCACGCCUAUAUAUAUUGCAUGGAAUAAUGAAAUAAGAUCUCGAUUUUAUUUCGUUGGUUUUAGAAAUUGAGAUA